UACGUAGGUGGCAAGCGUUGUCCGGAUUUACUGGGCGUAAAGAGCGCGCAGGCGGUCGUUCAAGUCGCGUGUGAAAGCCCCCGGCUCAACUGGGGAGGGUCACGCGAUACUGAUCGACUCGAAGGCAGGAGAGGGAAGUGGAAUUCACGGUGUAGCAGUGAAAUGCGUAGAUAUCGUGAGGAACACCAGAGGCGGAGGCGGUUUCCUGGACAGUUACUGACGCUCAGGCACGAAAGCAUGGGGAGCAAAAGGG
rnacentral:rRNA from 1 species